CUUCCGCCAGGCGUCUCAGUUUAAAGGAGGAGCUUUGUUCGCUCCUGCCUUCGUUUUCAUUGGCAGAGUCCGGAGCGCGUCUCGUUGUCAUGGUAACCAACCAGCUUUGCUUACACGGGAAAAGAAUCAUGGCUGCAAUGUCCCGGGGCUGUGACCCUGUGGGCCGCCUACUGGUGCAGGGGCAGAUACAUGUGUGGUAGAAAGAAAUAGCCGACAUUUUCUUCUGCAUGGACACCCGUACAAAGAAAGAAGAAGCCGGUGCAGUUUUCUGACGAUAGGCAUAUCAGCCCAGGGUGUCAGAAAAUGUGAGCGCCGUGAGGAGGGAUGGGGGCGGCAGUGGAAGGCCUCCUAAGGCGGCAUAAAGGAGUGGAUCGGCUGACUAAGCAGGAAAAAGUUAAGGUUCAAGAUGAUCUGGAACACGUGAAAAGGAACCUGACUAACACUAGCCUUAGGGAGGAUGGAGAGGGUGUGGAUAUUCAGGAUUUGAAGGCCGCAAUUCAAAGAACAGAGGUCGGACUGAGGAGCCAGGCACUGGUGUUCCAUUUGCCAAAGCCAAAGGUUAUGUGAGGAAGAGAAGGUAAUAUAUGUAGCUAACGUCCAUAUGCAUGCCUAGCAUUCCUCCAGAUCUCAUCUUGCUUGUGCUCCCCUCCUCCUGCUGAAAUUCCCGGAUACCUGCUUAAAAAUCCAUAUCCCAGGAGUGAACACACGCACCUCGCUACUUAUUUGGAAGUAAGUGCUGCUUUGCCAGCUGUUCCAUUUGCUUAGCACGAUGGUAGGAACACUGUUAUUAUUAACUAGUUGUCGUUUCCAGCUGGGAAAUUGCCACCUAUAAUUUACCACUUUCUAUCCUUCAAACAAGGUAAGCUUCAGUUGGCACAAUAAAACCUAAAAUACAUUUGUAAAGUGUUGCAGCUGUUGGUAUAGACUUAAGUCCUUGCGUCAUAAUGGCCACAACCACUCUUUUGUGUUAACUUAUUCUUCCAAGUACCUUAUUUGCUAACAACAGAAAUUUUUUUAAAGAAUUUUAUUGUAAAAUGGCAAAUGGGAAGAUGGUACCACUGUGGUGUCCAAACUGAUUCCUGUGCAUGAGGAAGUGCAUUGUCUAUGAUUGAUAAUAAUGCUGUCCCAAAUGCCAUAGGCAGCAGGCUUCUUAUUUAUAGGAAUGGUAAAAGGCUGCAGGCAAGGAAAAGUGUUUGAUGAUUGUCACAAAGUGCAGUGAUGUGACAUUUUGAGAGCUAUGGAUUUUAUUUUUCUUUCAGUACCAAAACAUUUCCUUUAAACUCACACUUUCCUAAUAUGUAUAGUAACAUGUUUUCAUAGGCUGGAAUAUUUUACUGUUUGCAUAUGUACUACAAUCUAUGGAAGGUUUACACAGCUUCCAGUUCAUCCCCAUAGAAAGCAGCCUGCUAUGCCAUGUGCUGCAUGUUCUCUUUGGGUGCUUACAGCAUUUUAGGGGCAUUCUUGUUGCAGCUUUUGAUUUCAAGUAAUACUGAUAUGUUUCUACCUAUUAGAGUAAUGUGUCAGUAUCUCUUUAAAUGGCCAUAUGGGCUGAUUUAUCAUUAAUCUUUAUAAUAUUUAUUUAUAAAAUAGGAAUAAGUAUUUGAAAACAUGUCUGUAUCAUAGGAUUUGGGCAUCUACAUCAGAACUUACAUUACAGACAAACAAACAGACAUUAUAUUAAAAACCUUGUUUAAAAGUCUCAGCUGUCAAUCAUAUUAUACUUGCCCCUCCUGUGGGACAGGCAAUUACUUUCACUUUCCAAUCAGCACUUCCUAGAUGUCAUUGCACUCCUUCAUCCCUCCCUUCAUCUUCAUUGUGUAGCCAGUGCUUGGGCAUUCUGAUGCAUAAACAAGAUUUUGGCAUGAUGCAAAGCUUGCCUUUAUAAAAGUGUCGACAAAAUGGUGACUGCCUGUAUGAUGUGAUUGUGAAUUCCAAGACUAAAAUAAUCAAGAUUUAAAUACUUGAAAUACCGUAAGUGAAGUUUAUUUUGCUUGAUUAACAUCAUUACAUAGGAGUUUUAAUUAUUUCUUACUUCUGAUGGGAUUAUGCUGCCCAAUAUAUAAGUCUUAGUGCAGACUAAAACAUAUCUUAUAUAUACCAUAAAUAUUUAUAUAAUAUAAGUAUGGUUUCCUUCAUUUUUUACCAAUAUAUCCAGGAAUACUUAUGGUUCUUUAUACUGAUUAAUACCACUUAGAGUUGCUAUAUGUGUUACUUUGACAAGGAAAUAUAGCACCAAGACAGUAAGGGGUUCUGCUGCAGCCUGAUUCUAAAUGAUGGGCAAGUUUGGGGACGUGUUGAGGGCAGGUGGGAAGCACCUAUAUGCCUCUCACUCCUUUCCUUCAUGAAUACAGUGCUGCCGAAUACAGGCAGUAUUGUAUUAAUGGGGUGGCCAUAUCAUGAAAGAUGCACAAAAAUGGUGGAUUGCACUGCUUUUUGCAUUUUGCACCCUGCCUUCCACACUGUUAUUGGUCCCUACCAACAAAAAUAGUAGAAUGCUAAUUUGGAUUUACCAAGCAAUAACCUUUUAAUAAAGCGACUCUCGGAAAUGAAAGACCCUAGUUUUACAGAGCUAUAAUUGCAUCUGUAACCACGGCUAUAUAAUGAUCAUUCAAAGGGACAACUUAGAUUAAACUAACUUAAAAUAGCUAAACUAUUCUUGAAGGAGAUAUACACCAAAAAAUGUUCUUGCAUAAUUAAAGAAAAUGUAAUUCUAAGCAACUUUUCAAUGCACAGCAAUUAAAAUUGAAUUCAAUAGUUUCAAUGGUUUUUAAAGGUAUUUGCAAAUGUAAUUGUUAUUGAAAGCGGUAUUUGUUUAUCCCUUUCUGUUUUCUGGGUCUGACCCUUGAAACAAUGUGUCGGUCAGUUCACCCCAUAAGUCUUUUAAUCAGCUAGCUUCUGCUACAUUGUUUUAAGAGAACCUAAAUUACAGAGAAGGUUAACUUCCAGACAGAAAUUGUUUUCAAUCUGAGUUACAUUUACAAAUAUAUUUAAAACAAUUGACAAACCCUAUUCGUUGCAAUAAUAUUGAAAUUAGGGGGUAUUCUUGCAUCCUGAGUCAAUGCCAUGUGCUGCCUUGACUUUGAUAAACAGUUUUUUGUUCCAUUUUGGGAAAAAACUGUCAACUAUAAAACCAAUCUGAUUACUUACACUCUGAAUGAUGCCAAACACACAACUUGCCAGUCCAAUGUAAGUGUUUGAAUGGAGCUAAAACAAAAAAUAAACAAUGUUUGCGUAUUUAUAAAAGUUUUUCGAUUGUGCCAAGGAAUACAAAAUCUGCCAGCCUGUCAGCAGAACACAAAGAAAUGGGACUUGAUGACUUGGCUGUCACUCACUGGGAAGCACAAGUUGUUCCUGAACAAUCGCAUCAUGUGAAAUCCUGAAAGCGUGGCACACCAGGAGCUGCUCAACCAGAGCCUUGGGAUCAGUUUGCCGCUCUUCAGCACCAGGUAGAAAACAUCUGGGAGAAAAAAAGAACAUCACAAUAGAAGAGGAAAAAAACAAUCCAGAACUAAUUGUCGGGGGGCUUUAAUGCUGGAGCUGAUUGGAGUCAGCGUUCCUUACACCUAGAAUCUGGGGACGUUCUGAUAUGCUCCAUCUGGGAUGACAAGAAGAGAAGAAUUCUGCUGGUAAACAAAUUAAUCUUUGCAAAGGUCACCAUUUGUUGUAAGUUUUUAUCCAGUGCUUGUCAUGUGGAAUAGGAGAUCGGCUGUCAUCUCACUAGGCAGGGGCCCCAACUCUGCUUCUCUACCGCUUAGAAAUCCCUGGAAACAGCUCAGUGCCUGCUUGCAAUGCCAUGGACGGCUGCAUUACAUCUGUCUCUGGACAGGAAGCGAGGGCCACCUCUGAAUUCCAAUAAGAUAGGCCCAUGCUUUUCUGCCUGGCCCUCUGCCCACGUGCAAAGCAUUAGGCAGAGUGAGCCAGAGGUAGUCCCCUCCCCCCAAAUCAUUCUACUAUCCUCUUCUCCCUCCCGUCUACUCCACUGCUGUCACCCGCUUCACCAAACAGAUGUUGCGUUUGCAAAAGUUCUGCAUGCAUUCUCUCUUCCACACCUGCCGCUUGUACUGUAUCUCUGUCAAGGUCCAAGGACCAAAGUACAAGAGAUUCUUGGGCUCCAUAACAACCAGUUAUUGGGCUGCUUCUGCAAGGUGGAAGAGGCCCUUGCAAAACUCCACACAUGCUGAAAGUGUCUUUUGUUACAAGGAGCAUAGGCGCCUUUAGCUGUGUGAUUGAGUAGUCAUUAUGGGAGGAAAUGAGGUGCAAAUGAUACAUUAACUUUCUGUUCAAUGGAUGGACAUGAGUGCAUAGCUGUCACACCACCACCCACAAUAUCAAAUAAGUAGAUUUAGUGGUAAGUGAGGCAGGACACAGUUGGGUAAUAGUUGAGAUAUUGUCUGAGUAUAUUUAGAGACUCCAGCUCACUUGUGUUGUGGCAUUGUUUUAUGUAUAUGUAUGGCUGUAGGCAAGUUAAUUGAUUGUAUGUUUUCUCAGAUGCCAAACUAAAAGAUCACAAGAGGCUCCACUGUUAAUAAUCUCGCUGUGUUACCUGCCUCGAACUGAAGGGAUCCCUCACCAGCUCAGCCCCCCUGAACAAGAAGGCUAUGCAGAAAGGAUCCUGGAGCUUUGAAGUGGAAACAUUUAGAGGCAGUAACAGUUCAUUUGGAAAGUGCUAAACAACAAGCAAGCAUCUGGCAUCCAACUGGAAUCACAUCAGGACGUGCAGGAGGAGCAUUAUCCAUAUCCUAUCAUUAGGAUCCAUUUUAUCUGCCUCCAGCCUGUGGAUACCUACGUUCCUGGAAGCUCUGGCAGAAAUGAUCAUUGACAAACUCAUGGUGACCGGUUGGCUAUUUAAAGUGGACAGUGAGUUUGGAGGUAAUGGCACUGCUUUUUGUGACAUUGCUAAAUACCUGCCAAGCUAUGCAUGGGCUGUGAGCGAGAACCAGAGAUAUGACCCUGAUAUUUGGAAACAGACAUGGGCACAGGCACCCGACACUGAUGUAUGGCUUGGGGUCCUGGCUGUUUGCCCGAGUCACUGAGACUGUCCCAAGCAGCUGUGGGGGGCCUCCAAUUGGUGGUCUUCCAGACAUCACUAAACUACAGUUCUCAGCAGCAGGGUUUAGAUGGAGGGGUGAACACAGACAUUCCUGCUCUCACUUAUCCAAGGAUAGAAGACCAUAUAACCCCUUAAAGUGGACCUGUCACCCAGGCAUAAAAGCUGUAUAAUAAAAGACCUUUUCAAAUUAAACA